rnacentral:rRNA from 1 species
GACGGAGGGUGCAAGCGUUGCUCGGAAUUACUGGGCGUAAAGCGCGUGUAGGCGGCGGUGCAAGUCGGGUGUGAAAGCCCUGGGCUCAACCCAGGAAGUGCAUUCGAUACUGCGCUGCUAGAGUCCCGGAGAGGAUGGUGGAACUCUCGGUGUAGAGGUGAAAUUCGUAGAUAUCGAGAAGAACACCGGUGGCGAAGGCGGCCAUCUGGACGGUGACUGACGCUGAGACGCGAAAGCGUGGGGAGCAAACAGG